GAUGAACGCUGGCGGCGUGCCUAAUACAUGCAAGUCGAACGCACAGCGAAAGGUGCUUGCACCUUUCAAGUGAGUGGCGAACGGGUGAGUAACACGUGGAUAACCUACCUCAAGGUUGGGGAUAACAUUUGGAACAGAUGCUAAUACCGAAUAAAACUUCGUAUCGCAUGAUACAAGGUUAAAAGGCGCUACGGCGUCACCUAGAGAUGGAUCCGCGGUGCAUUAGUUAGUUGGUGGGUAAAGGCCUACAAGACAAUGAUGCAUAGCCGAGUUGAGAGACUGAUCGGCCACAUUGGGACUGAGACACGGCCCAAAACUCCUACGGGAGGCUGCAGUAGGGAAUCUUCCACAAUGGGCAAAGCCUGAUGGAGCAACGCCGCGUGUGUGAUGAAGGCUUUCGGGUCGUAAAGCACUGUUG
rnacentral:rRNA from 1 species